rnacentral:rRNA from 1 species
GCAAGUCGAACGAUGAAGCCUUUCGGGGUGGAUUAGUGGCGAACGGGUGAGUAACACGUGGGCAAUCUGCCCUUCACUCUGGGACAAGCCCUGGAAACGGGGUCUAAUACCGGAUAACACUCUGUCCUGCAUGGGACGGGGUUAAAAGCUCCGGCGGUGAAGGAUGAGCCCGCGGCCUAUCAGCUUGUUGGUGGGGUAAUGGCCUACCAAGGCGACGACGGGUAGCCGGCCUGAGAGGGCGACCGGCCACACUGGGACUGAGACACGGCCCAGACUCCUACGGGAGGCAGCAGUGGGGAAUAUUGCACAAUGGGCGAAAGCCUGAUGCAGCGACGCCGCGUGAGGGAUGACGGCCUUCGGGUUGUAAACCUCUUUCAGCAGGGAAGAAGCGAAAGUGACGGUACCUGCAGAAGAAGCGCCGGCUAACUACGUGCCAGCAGCCGCGGUAAUACGUAGGGCGCAAGCGUUGUCCGGAAUUAUUGGGCGUAAAGAGCUCGUAGGCGGCUUGUCACGUCGGAUGUGAAAGCCCGGGGCUUAACCCCGGGUCUGCAUUCGAUACGGGCUAGCUAGAGUGUGGUAGGGGAGAUCGGAAUUCCUGGUGUAGCGGUGAAAUGCGCAGAUAUCAGGAGGAACACCGGUGGCGAAGGCGGAUCUCUGGGCCAUUACUGACGCUGAGGAGCGAAAGCGUGGGGAGCGAACAGGAUUAGAUACCCUGGUAGUCCACGCCGUA